UUGAUACUGAUUUGAACAAUACUUCCUCUAAGGAUGGUUCCGACAUUGGUCCUACAUAGCCUCUCGAAGACCCUUCACUACCUCAUUUUCUCCCUUCAUGUCUCUGCAGAAAAAUAUAAUGCACUGCCACCUAUAUUAUCAGAUUUUUCAUCAUUAUUCAAAGCCUCCUUUCUCAAACUCCUAUAAGAUCACUGUGGUGUGAUAAUGACAGUUACUCUAUUCAAUUCAGCCUUCACAACAUCCCCAGCUAGAUUCCUUACCUCAUCAUAUGUCACUAAAUGUUUUAUAAACUGCUCUACCGCCUCUCGCACUAUAGGAAUAAUGUAAGGGUGCACAAUCUGCAAAAGCACAAAAGGUUAACAAUUUGCUUAUAUGUUUGGAUAAAUAAUUUUACACUAUGAAACCAAGAAACCAAUAGCAUAUUUCAUACCUCCGAACCUAUCCCUUGACUUGAAAUGGGCCACCUUUCGCUCAAUUUAGAUGUAUGACAUCUCAACAUCUUAGAGUAGGCAAAUGAACAUCCCUUGACUUGGCAACAUCAUUUUCAAGAGCUGGAAAUGCUUCAUUUGCCCGGGCCUA
rnacentral:lncRNA from 1 species